AGGAAAAGAGCAUCUCUUUAGAUUCUGUACAUUUGAUAUUUGUUUCUCCCUGCCUUGUAACUGAUUCAAGUAUUUACAGAAGCUGGGAUGGGGCCAUACCAACAGCAGGAAAGAGCAUCCCUCACGCAGAGAUCUGCAGUCCCACUCUGAAUGAGCUCCCACAGUUGCUUUCAGAAACAGCGCACCGUGAGUCUGGAGGGCAGCCGGCUUUCCCCCUCCUCGUCACCAUGUCCCACAGGGAACAUGGCAACCGCAUGCUCCCACAUGUCCACUCUGUACGGUUUGUUUUCUGUAAUGUGUCCAGCCAGUUUUCAAAACAUCAAAGCCAGCACGAGAACUCGGAGUCCACAGUGGCUCCUGAAGCCACUCCAUGCCUGGGGCUGGCAACCCAUAGCUUCCCAGCAGACUCUCCCAGUUAACACAUGGGUGAAGCAGGCAGGCUCGAGGACGUUGCUUCGUUGUCAUGUGCUAUUGAAGGAGCAGCUCCCAUUUAGGAACUACAUCGGUCCCUGCAGCGGUAGGACUCACCAUGCCGGUAGGGAGGUGCUGAGGAGCCCAGUCUGAGAUUACGUUCCUGCCUGCCCGGGACUCCUACACGGUCGCCCAGUCCUCUGCUGAGAAGGAUAAUCAGCUCCCACCCCCUGCGGAACUCAGCCUGAUGCUGCAGCCAUCUCCUGUUAUUGUAAUUAGAUACUGAACUAACAGACACUGGAAUCACUGGGUGCUUCUCCCCAAAUUAAACAACGUAAGGGAGGGCGGGGCGCUCUUAAGAAAAUGA